rnacentral:rRNA from 1 species
UGGGGAAUAUUGCACAAUGGGCGCAAGCCUGAUGCAGCCAUGCCGCGUGUAUGAAGAAGGCCUUCGGGUUGUAAAGUACUUUCAGCGGGGAGGAAGGCGAUAAGGUUAAUAACCUUGUCGAUUGACGUUACCCGCAGAAGAAGCACCGGCUAACUCCGUGCCAGCAGCCGCGGUAAUACGGAGGGUGCAAGCGUUAAUCGGAAUUACUGGGCGUAAAGCGCACUCAGGCGGUCUGUCAAGUCGGAUGUGAAAUCCCCGGGCUCAACCUGGGAACUGCAUUCGAAACUGGCAGGCUAGAGUCUUGUAGAGGGGGGUAGAAUUCCAGGUGUAGCGGUGAAAUGCGUAGAGAUCUGGAGGAAUACCGGUGGCGAAGGCGGCCCCCUGGACAAAGACUGACGCUCAGGUGCGAAAGCGUGGGGAGCAAACA